UCCCUGGUGGUUCAGUGGGUUGGACUCAGUGUUCCCAAUGCAGGGGGCCCAGGUUCAAUCCCCGGUCAGGGAG
rfam:Ovis aries breed Texel chromosome 17, whole genome shotgun sequence.